rnacentral:rRNA from 1 species
UACAGAGGUCUCAAGCGUUGUUCGGAUUCAUUGGGCGUAAAGGGUGCGUAGGUGGCGUGGUAAGUCGGGUGUGAAAUUUCGGAGCUUAACUCCGAAACUGCAUUCGAUACUGCUGUGCUUGAGGACUGGAGAGGAGACUGGAAUUUACGGUGUAGCAGUGAAAUGCGUAGAGAUGGGGGAGAACACUCGUGGCGAAGGCGGCCAGCUAGACCAGUUCUGACACUGAGGCGCGACAGCGUGGGGAGCAAACAGG